GGGCCCGGGCCUCCCACCCACGACAGCCUCUUCAAGCCUCCGCCCAUAUAUCCUCUAUUCAUCGACUUAGUCACCCAACCAGCCCCAUUCCACACAAGCAACCUGGACUUUGCUCCUUUACGGAGGAGGAGGAGAGUGACAUAGAUCUCAUGCCGCAGACUAUUGCCAACACAAAUUGUGCAAACAUGAAUGCAACACGCCUCUGGUGAUGUUUGCCCAAGACAAAAGGCCAGCGCGGAUCAGCUUGAAUUCCCAUCGUCCCACUGAGGUGACGGAAAGAGAAUUUGACUGACAACUGGACGCGGAUCACAUGUGGGAUACGUCAUCUUUUACAAUAACCAAGAGUCCGGAGAAGACAUCCACUAUAAACUGGCAGCAGAUGGGGAUGGAAAAUACUGUUUGUGCAAAAUUACCAUCAAGUGUCACAACAACAACAAAUACAAGAUAACACAAGUUUGCUCAUCUGCCCGCCGACGCAUGUUCUUCAUAUAAGCAACAAAGCCAGCAUAGGCAGGAUGUUACUGCGACUGCGUGCAGUCAAAUAGUCUGACGGCGACGUUUGCUUUCAACACAAGUCAAUGUGCCCACUCAGCAGGCAUGAGCAGGAGAGGAGGUGGGAAGAUAAGCGAGGACAAUGGAGGAUGAGCGGCCUAUCAUAUUGGCAAUAUAUGACGCAAAGUAUCACGAUGCAACCAAUAGGUCACAAUUGGAAGGAAGAACGCUCCAUGCUGCAAGACAAGCAGAGGCGCAGCUCAAGGCGCUGACCUCGCCCCCGAGACCCCCAGGAGGGAUGAUGACCAUUUCUUGGCUUCCGGGUGUCUCGGACGAAAAUAGCACCGAGCCAGUUGCCUUCACUGCCUAUUAGUGCUGUCCAUGACAUCGGCGGACAUGACACGACGUUUAACAUACAGGGACUAAUGAUCUGUGCAAAUGUUCAAGUUCUUCAAAAGUGACAUCAUUGCUGCAUGAUGCCAUGAUGGGAGGAGAGCAGGGAGGAGGUUCAAGAGGUGCAACAUGUGAUGACGAUAAAGAUGUGAGUAAGACAUCUGAAAAGCCAGAUAUUAUUAGUAUAAAGAGAGUGCAGGAUUCAUGUCCAUGUCUACGGGAAUAAGUUUUGCUUCUGGUUUUUGGCUACGUUUAACACAUGCAGUAAUUACACGUGGCUCUUAUGGCUACAUGCAGCAUACCGCAUUCAAGAGCUUUUUUUUUUUUUUUUUUCGGAAUUCAAUUGGAUUUUGUGCAAAAAUGCACUCAAGUAAAAGUAGAAAAGAAAUAUUUUGGGGGUGAUGCUGUAUUUAGUUGUGUAAAUUACAAAAAUGCUAAGCAGAGCUAUAGUAAAGUAUUUACAAUGAUUCUCAAUUUUUUUUUAU